UCACGUUGUUUGAAGGUCUAUUCUUGGAUUUACGCGUAAGCGUUCGGUUAUCCGCGUCGUUGCAUAUCGUGGCCACGGGAGGAGGACAGGCACGUGUAACCGCGUGUGCACGCGCUAAGAAAUCGCGCCCGUUCGUCCGUGCAAGUGCGCGUGCACACGCGCAUGCGCACUGUGGAACUAACCCUGCAACCAAACAAUGCGAAAAGCGAACGGAUAAAACAAUUUCUACGAAUUAGUUUCUCGUUAAAGAGAGUAUUGUAACAAAAUAAAUAUCACGAAACGUUUUUAGAGUUCGAAAUUCUACCUGAAUAUUAUCAAUUUUAGUGAUAAAGUGUAUGUGUACGUGACCCUCGACUUAAUACAUGUAAAUACAGACACCAAAAAGGGGACUCAUGAAUGUUUUAUCAUUGAAAACGCGAGGCUCGUGAAGGUCGAAAUUCUACAUUCUAAAGGGUAAACGCGAUGCAUUACGUGAAAUUAUUCGUAAGGUCUUUCCUUGCGGAAACCUUGAGCCGAGUUAGCUUAAUUUAGUUAGGGAUUUUGGCAAUAAAGCAGCAUCCCCAAUAAGAGAAAUAUUUCUAAUGGUCGACAUAUCAUUUUUCACGAGAUAAAUACAUAUACUGCCGAGGAAAUUACCGAGCGGCUCGCAGAAGGAAAUGUUUCGAAGAAGGUCGGAAGUUGACCGCGAUAAGCCGUGUGACGGUUACUGAUGCAAGCAAUAACGCGACUGUUAGUUACGAGCGAUGAAAGUAAAAUUGGGAACGACCAACGAAACAAAGAGCGUGGAACAAAGAAGCGUGUCGUGCUUCCAAUUAUGCACAGGGACGAUGAUCGUGUGCGUGCAGCAACGAUAGAAAAUAUUCUCAAUUGCGACUGAGAACGUAGGCUGUACAUUUCACGGCAUUCAUUUCUCAACAAAUAGCAACAGUAUACAGCCACUUAAUUCAUUAAUAUUACUAGUUUAACAAACACACGGUUUUAUAUACGCAUCGAACAAUGAGAUCAGUGAUGACUAAGGAGGUUCACCGUAGGAAAUUUCAAUUAGCUACACUUUGCCGCCAUUUACAUAACGAAUGACUAACCAGCGCUUCAACGUUGAUCGUUGAUCUCGAUCGAGAAACACUUUUGAAACGAUACCGUGUCUUUUUCGAACGGGCGCCAAUAUUAGUUGUACGCGAGUCGUUGGCCUGAUGCCCAGACAUGGAAUAUAUGUGCAAACAUACACAAACGGACAAAGAGGAACAGUUCAAUCGAAUCAAACGGAAGCAUAAAGUGUGAGAAAUGGUAAAACGUUUCGUGGCCCGAAUCGCGAAUUCAAACGCGGCUCUAUCUUCUCGUUUACAGCGCGCACGCCAAUCCAUUAUUCUUAACAACGUGUCUGCUAUAGCGGACUAAAUCACUAUCCAACACGUCUGCAGUGACGAAGAGACGUGAGAUGAUAUUUUAUUCGAGCUUCGAUCAACGAUCAAACUCUAAUAAGCUAUCUCAUUAUUUAUCGAACCUUGAGAAUCUAUUGUUAACCUCUUGCGCUGGAAUGACGUGCCACGCAUGUCGAAAACAUUUGGCCCAAAAUUGCAAUAUUUUCUCAAUUUUAAGUAUAUUGAAAUAUAAUCCGGGUAAAACAAAGUACUUCUUUAGUACUUCUUAGUAAUUUCUAUCCAGUGAUACACCGAUGAAUUCAAAAAGAAGACGAAUUAUUGUAUACGAUUUGGUCACUCGUUAUGGUCCGUGAACCAGUUACUAGCGCAAGAGGUUAACGUGCUCCUAGAUGCUCGGUGGAUAUAGCCCGCAGUUCAAUUAAAAUAAAUUUUGUAUUGUAUAAUUUUUGAUAUUACAUGUAUUUGGUUAAAAUACUGGCAAUGAAUUGUGUUUCGAUACGAUAACGACAAAUAUCAUGUUGUGAAUUUCACAAAAAUUACUACUUAAAAUGCGAUGACUCAAACGGCAUUUAUCAUCUCUGCCAGCUACUGUUUAAGAUGCAUUAGACACUCUAACAAUAACGAAUACAUAAUUAUUUCUCCAGAAAUAUCGUCAAUAUUGUAUUUGUUAACAGAAUGGUUGCCCAAGCGUCAAUGUGGUUUAAUGUGGUUUAUCAAUAUUGGCGAUUGAAUGAGUUGUUUGAGCACCCGUAACUGCAGCCGAGCUAUUUAACUGUCGUUUCACAGUCUUCAACUAUAAGUCGAAGUUGUAUCACGAAGUAGAAAGUGAUAUUAAAUGAAACAAUAACUGUCAAUCAAUCAAAUCAUGAGUGUCGCUUGCAAUUAGUAUCUGUUAAUUGUUCUCUUAUUUUUGUUUGCUUUCACUCGCAAUCAAUUAAACGGAUAAUCAUACAAGAAAAAAAAAAAGAAAGAUACGUUUGAUUGAUUCUGUUCUAAUCUAAUAAUGAAUCAUUAUUGGUAAUCAUAUUAUCUAAACGCGUUUCAUUAUUUUUGUAUUCUAAUUAAUUCCCUUUAAUAAGAAAAAUACAAAGCUCAAAAAGAAAAUAAAGACAAAAAGUUUAUAUAUCUUUAGAUUUCGUUCAAAGAGCAACGUAAAGCAUGCCGCAAUUUUUAUAUUGAUAAAAGUAAAUAUAACGUGAUAACAAAUAUUUUUGUAAAUACGUGCAAAUUUGAUAGCGUGUGUGAGAUAAAAUUUAUCUGGGGAAUAAGUAAUUUAACAUAUAUUUUUAUAAAAAUAAAUACAUAUCAUGUCUUGUAAUUUGCUAUAUAUAGAUAGCAAAUUACAAGGCAUAAUAUGUUUAAAUUAUUUAGUUAUUGAAAUUAUUCCACAUCAAGGCUUAAAAAUGUAUCUUUUAAUUUGUUAAUGAAUCCUUUUCAUUAAAAAUGCAUAAAUUAUUCCUGAAAGUGAUAAACCAAUAUAUUUUCAAUGAAAUUUGAAAGUAACGAAAGCAACAUUUAUAGCGAUAAAAUAUAUAAAUAGGCGAUGAAUAUAAGACACCCUGUAUGAAUCGAAGAGGGCGCCAAGGGAGGGGCCCUCCUUUGUGAGACGGGCUCUGACCUCAACGGAUCGUCGGGCCCGAGGUAGGCGCCUCCGACUGUGAACGAAGUGAAGCUGUUGCUUGUUGGUUUGCUGGUCUGUCUGGCCAGUUGCCUGGCCUCGUUGCCAAGCAACCGUAAAAGAGUCACCCUCCGAAUCUCUAAAAUUCCUUACACCGAAUCCUUCUACAGAACGCUGCGAGACGAUCACGUUUCCCACGUGAGAAAGCGGUCCGGUUUAAAAAUACACGCGAAAGGUCAACGAUUUUAGACCCCGCCGUUACAAAAUUAGAAAAGUACACGUAUAUUUAUAGAAUAUCAAUUCGGUAACGUAUAAAAUCGACCGUUACAAUAGAAACAUGCUACUAUUUAUGGAUACACUAUUUCGACGUCUCUAUUGUUUUAAUCUAACUUUCACUUGUUCUUUCUUUACGUACAAGGGCUUAAAAUAAAAAUAAAAUUGUGAAUUUAA